GCUGUGAAAGCGAUGAACUUGUCAGGAAUAGCAUAUGAGGCUAAGGCCGGAGUGGAUGACAUAUCGGGUUUGGUGGCCAACAGCACUGCAGAAAUAAGAACCACCAUCAACACAACGAUGGGCGAGUUUGCUGGUAUUAUUAACAAUAUGACGAAUGAUUUGGUUGCUCAGUUAAACGGG